rnacentral:rRNA from 1 species
AUUGAACGCUGGCGGAAUGCUUUACACAUGCAAGUCGAACGGCAGCACGGGGGCAACCCUGGUGGCGAGUGGCGAACGGGUGAGUAAUACAUCGGAACGUGCCCAGUCGUGGGGGAUAACGUAGCGAAAGUUACGCUAAUACCGCAUACGAUCUACGGAUGAAAGCGGGGGACCGUAAGGCCUCGCGCGAUUGGAGCGGCCGAUGUCGGAUUAGGUAGUUGGUGAGGUAAAGGCUCACCAAGCCGACGAUCUGUAGCUGGUCUGAGAGGACGACCAGCCACACGGGGGCUGAGGCACGGCACAGACUCCUACGGGAAGCAGCAGUGGGGAAGUUUGGACAAUGGGCGCAAGCCUGGUCCAGCCAUUCCGCGUGCAGGACGAAGGCCUUCGGGUUGUAAACUGCUUUUGUACGGAACGAAAAGGCUCUGAUUAAUACCUGGGGCUCAUGACGGUACCGUAAGAAUAAGCACCGGCUAACUACGUGCCAGCCGCCGCCGUAA